rnacentral:tRNA from 1 species
UGCCCUGUGGUGUAAUGGUAGCACAUCGGAUUCUGGUUCCGCUUGUCUGGGUUCGAGUCCUGGCAGGGCAA